GCCUACCUGAUGAGCCCCAAACAGGGCGAAACCGGUCGUGGUC
rfam:Opisthorchis viverrini opera_v5_325.15, whole genome shotgun sequence.